CUUCAGCCGUCAUGCAUCUGACUCGUAAACUAGAAGAACACAGUUCGAAUCCCGUCAG
rnacentral:tRNA from 16 species